GUCAGCUUCUGUAAGAUGUUGUUUGUCCAAGGUUAUGACAAGCCAGGGGCUCUUCUCAACUUCUGGUGAUUUAUGCGAUGCAUGAGGAGAAUCGGGUUGUUGCCCACAGCACGCUGCAACGACGUCUUCUUCUCCUCUCUUCGCGGGUGCUCGCCGGUCCACGCUGCCACCCAUCAAUGUUGACAAGUCACCAUCUAAAAGGUUGUCCGAGGAGAAACUGCUGGUUUCAAACGCUAGCAAGCUCCUGGCAUGCACAAGAUAGAAGUGGAAAGGCUAUUGCUGCUCCAUGCUCCCGGCUUGACUUAAAUAUAUGGACCUGAUUAUCCCAUUGGCUCCUGGCAUGGACAAGACAGAAGUGGGAAGGCUAUUGCUGCUCCAUGCUCCCGGCUUGACUUAAAUAUAUGGACCUGAUUAUCCUGUUGGAAUUAAUCAUUCUUGUUGUGGCAGCUACAUAUUAAUCUAGUUCUAGUCUCUAAUCUUUAUACUGCACAUGCCUUCUGUAUGUUGAAUUAGUUUCCUAUCUAGUUCAAUGUAGAUUCUAAUGCUAGCUCCUAGACUUGUGUUCAAGUGUCUUUCAUUUAACAAAUGAGUGCAAAGAAGGCCACUGGAUCCGCUAGAAAUCGUUUG